rnacentral:lncRNA from 1 species
UAGUCAGGUAGCUAGAAGGCCUACGAAAGCGACUUCCAGUCUGAGCCAUCCCGGGACAUCGGACGUCUUCGGUUUUCCAUGUGUAGCCCUUGCGGCACGCCAUCAAGCAACGACUGGGUUGCGCUCUCAACCAGCAAGGUGUGCUACUUUGUAGAGUGUUGGGUUUUGUCCAAAGAGCAUGGGAUGGUGUAGUAAAUUAGUAACAAGUAUUUUACUUAGUUAAGAACCAAGGUUAUCGAACCAAUAGGAAG